rnacentral:rRNA from 1 species
AUUGAACGCUGGCGGCAUGCCUUACACAUGCAAGUCGAACGGUAACAGGUCUUCGGAUGCUGACGAGUGGCGAACGGGUGAGUAAUACAUCGGAACGUGCCCAGUAAUGGGGGAUAGCUCGGCGAAAGCCGGAUUAAUACCGCAUACGCCCUGAGGGGGAAAGUGGGGGAUCGCAAGACCUCACGUUAUUGGAGCGGCCGAUGGCUGAUUAGCUAGUUGGUAGGGUAAAGGCCUACCAAGGCGACGAUCAGUAGCUGGUCUGAGAGGACGAUCAGCCACACUGGGACUGAGACACGGCCCAGACUCCUACGGGAGGCAGCAGUGGGGAAUUUUGGACAAUGGGGGAAACCCUGAUCCAGCAAUGCCGCGUGUGCGAAGAAGGCCUUCGGGUUGUAAAGCACUUUUGUCAGGGAAGAAAUCCUUUGGGCUAAUACCCUAGGGGGAUGACGGUACCUGAAGAAUAAGCGCCGGCUAACUACGUGCCAGCCGCCGCAGUAAUAC